UCCCUUUUGCGCAUCGUGCAGACAGAUGAAUUGCUAAAGAACAUUUGUUUAUUAACUUUUCUGUAAGGGUUGGAGAGGGUGUCAGACCCCUACGUUAGACAUACUUGGAAAAAAACUAAGCCGAAGAACAUCCUGAACUUUUUCUCAGACAGACCUCAGCAACCUAGCUUCUCUCUGCACCUAGUGAGACAAAAGAGUUGCCGUAGAACAUUUUUUUGUAACAUGUGGGAACGAUAUCCGGUCACAACUUUGGACCUACUUUAAAAACAAAAUAAGCCGUAAAACACCCUUGAUUUUAUUCAAGUAGACUUUAGCUACCUAGAUUUAUUUUCAACCUAGUACGGACAAAAAAAUUGCCAAAGAAUAUUUUUAGUAACUUUUCUGUAAGAGUUGGGAGCGAUGUCCUGUCCCAACUUUGGACCUACUUUACAAAAAAAAAAAAAAAACUAAACCGUUGAACACCAUUGCAUUUUUUCAAGUAUACCUCAGUUAACCAGCUUCCCUUUACAUCUGUUGCGGACAAAAGCAUUGCCGAAGAAUAUUUAUUUAAUAACUUUUCUGUAAUUUGCACCUUGUGCUGUGAAAAGUAUGGCAGUUUAACAUUGUGUUUAACACUUUUCUGUAAGAAUUGGAAAGGGUGUCCAACCCCAACUUUGGACCUACUUAAAACAGAACACAAAACAACACCCCGGAUUUUUAUUCUCAGGUAGACCGCAGCUACCCAGCCUCUCUUUGCAUUUAAUCGGACAAAAGGAUUACCGUAGAACCUUUUUUUAUUAAUUUUUCUGUAAAAGAUGUCCGACCAACUUUGGACCUACUUAAAAAAAAGAAUCCGAAAACCACCCUGGAUGUUUUCCAUUUAGACCACAGUAACCCUUUUUCCCUUUAUACCUAGUGCAGACAUUGCCAAAGAACAUUAGUUUAUUAACUUUUGUGUAAAGGUGGGGUAGGGUUUCCAA
rnacentral:lncRNA from 1 species